UACGUAGGGGGCAAGCGUUGUCCGGAUUCAUUGGGCGUAAAGAGCGUGUAGGCGGCCAGGUAGGUCGGUUGUGAAAACUGGAGGCUCAACCUUCAGAGGUCGACCGAAACCAUCUGGCUAGAGUCCGGGAGAGGAGAGUGGAAUUCCUGGUGUAGCGGUGAAAUGCGCAGAUAUCAGGAAGAACACCCGUGGCGAAAGCGGCUCUCUGGAACGGUACUGACACUGAGGAGCGAAAGCGUGGGGAGCGAACAGG
rnacentral:rRNA from 1 species